rnacentral:rRNA from 1 species
UCGGGUUGUAAAGCACUUUUGUCCGGAAAGAAAACUUCUGCCCUAAUACGGCGGGAGGAUGACGGUACCGGAAGAAUAAGCACCGGCUAACUACGUGCCAGCAGCGCGGUAAUCGUAGGGUGCGAGCGUUAAUCGGAAUUACUGGGCGUAAAGCGUGCGCAGGCGGUUCGUUAAGACAGAUGUGAAAUCCCCGGGCUUAACCUGGGGACUGCAUUUGUGACUGGCGAGCUAGAGUAUGGCAGAGGGGGGUAGAAUUCCACGUGUAGCAGUGAAAUGCGUAGAGAUGUGGAGGAAUACCGAUGGCGAAGGCAGCCCCCUGGGCCAAUACUGACGCUCAUGCACGAAAGCGUGGGGAGCAAACAGGAUUAGAUACCCUGGUAGUCCACGCCCUAAACGAUGUCAACUAGUUGUUGGGGAUUCAUUUCCUUAGUAACGUAGCUAACGCGUGAAGUUGACCGCCUGGGGAGUACGGUCGCAAGAUUAAAACUCAAAGGAAUUGACGGGGACCCGCACAAGCGGUGGAUGAUGUGGAUUAAUUCGAUGCAACGCGAAAAACCUUACCUACCCUUGACAUGGUCGGAACCCUGCUG